AUUUUUUUCCAUGACUUCUUUGCAUUUCCUACUGUCUUCUGACAGCUUUUCCUGAUAUGCCUUCAUGAUAUUGACAGUUCCUUCUCCAUUCUGGCCUGGGGAUCCUUGGCUCUGUAGUAGAUUUCUCACCGUUUCCUCCAUUCUGGAAAACUGCUCUUGUAGGCCACGCAUCUGAGCUCUGUUACGCUCUGACUCCAGUGUUACCUCCCGUAAUCGUUUUUCACUCUCAAGUCUU
rnacentral:lncRNA from 1 species